rnacentral:rRNA from 1 species
UACGAAGGGGGCUAGCGUUGCUCGGAAUCACUGGGCGUAAAGCGCACGUAGGCCGAUUGUUAAGUCAGGGGUGAAAUCCUGGAGCUCAACUCCAGAACUGCCCUUGAUACUGACGGUCUCGAGUCCGGGAGAGGUGAGUGGAACUGCGAGUGUAGAGGUGAAAUGCGUAGAUAUCGGGAGGAACACCAGUGGCGAAGGCGACUACCUGGCCUGUUCUUGACGCUGAGGCGCGAAAGCUAGGGGAGCAAACGGG